CAUGUUAAUGAUACGAGGGUUCUAACACUCCGAAGACCACUUAGCCACCAGACUUUCGACACACCCAGUUACAAAAUGUACCACACUUGUUCAAGCCUACCGUCAACUCAGGUACAAAGACAUAACGUACGUAACCGACACACACCUGACGUCUGUGCAUAGAAUCAGCCAAACUACAAAAAGCAGCCAAGCUCCAUAUCGACCCCGCCUGCUCUCCACAGAUCGCCGAGUGGGAAUAGCGUAAGUAGUCAUAACAAGGCGGCCCCCUCCCGGAGCCCGCAAGCGGGAGCCGAAGGGACCCUGAGCCCGUAGACCGCGUGGUCGUCUGUCGGCGAUUCCUCCGCUCGCCACCACUGUUGAGUUCCUCCGCUCUUGCUGGUUAUGGAGCGGUGGUCACGUCCUAGGGCACCUCCGGCUACGUACACUCCGGCUACAACUCCGAGACCACUGUGUAUAGUCGAAGCAGAAACACUCGAAGAAGCAGACCGAGAGGCCGCCGCCGAGGCUGCACACGGUACACCACAGCGACGGUCCCCACUUAGAAGACGUACACCGCAAGAAGUAAAAGAAAUUGACAACCCCACCGCUACCAAAGAAAAGGAGAAGACUAAACCCACUCCGCUCAUGGCUACGACCAAGGGAAAGUCUCUUUCGUUCACCGCGCGACCAAGGACGAGACUCUUCCGUACCACAGCAGCUAGAGAAAUCACCCGCCCUCCACGCCUAGAGAAGCCGACGCACAAACCACGGACGAACCGACGAAGAAGCAGUCCCAGCUUGGUAGACGACGGCUAAGGAAGAAGGAGACGUAGCUAAAGAAGCCUCCCUCCGACAUCGACACAGCCGACCGCCCAAACGUAGGGAACGCAGGAAGAAGAUGGAUGAGUCUCCGAACACUAACUAAACCUCGAAGGGACUAUACUUAGUUGGUUCGAUCGCAUGUGAUGUUAAGUCAUACGUGUGUUUACAAGUGUAAAAAAAAACUCAUCAAUUUAUCAAUUUUGUAAGGGGAGAUCUAGCUAUCAAACAAUGAGGACUCACCAACUUACAAAAUUAUUUAAUGGUGUUUUAAAAUUAUUCAUUUUAGUCCCACAGAAAAGAAAUAUAUCAAACCACCACUGAAAUAAGUAUUUUAAACAUGUUCACAACAUCGAGCCGGCGAAUUCUUCUAACUUAUAUGUCCUCUACCAAUAGCUGUUCUCGAACCACCGUAGCCACCAUUUUUAUGUUGACUGUAGAAUUCAGACAAAGCAAACCAUACUUUGAUACUUAUGUCCCCAUUCGUUUAAACAAUAAUAGGAUGAACGAGUUGGUAAUGAUUAAAGUAAAGGUCCAUAUAGUCAGACGUCAAAUACAUUAUGUUCGUAUACCCCCAAGGUACGCCUGUAUUCCUUAAGUGCUACCAAGAGCGACUAAAUUGUAGUAAAUCACAUAUACGGUAGUCAGUUCUAUUACAACUUAAAUACUCAAUCUUUACUACGACUUCUUUCAUUCGGUGAGUCCGAUGGUAGCCAGGUCACAGCAUAACUCGUGGUGUACAACAGAAGAUAACAUCCUGUGGAAUUACCAUCACAUUAUAUAGAGGUCGUAUCCAAUGAAAAUUAGUUAGUAGAUAAACAAACCUCACCAAAGUAACGGUAAACCAUUACAUUUUGUAUAGGACAUAGUGGUGAAUUUCGUGUUUGAUACGUAAUGUCUCGGCAGAGGUGUCAGUUACCGAUCGAUAAAGACAUAAAAAAAGAGUAGGUUAGGAACUCAGUAAUUUCUUCGCUAAGAUAUUUCCAAUAUCGUGCGAGUACUUACACUAUUGUGAAGUCCAAUCUGAACUACAAUGUUUGAAUUUAGUAACCAAUACCAAUAGAUAAUAUAUGAGGGAGAUAAGGAUUUAUAAACAGAAAAAUCUCUAAAGUUUACCUGAUGGUGUAUGCCUACAUAUCUGUAUAAAAUCUCACAUCUAAGUGAGUAAAACGAGACAUACAUCAGUGAACAACUUUAGAGAACUUUCUGUUUAUAAAUCCUUGCCUCCCUCAUAUAAAAAUCGAUUUAAUAUGCACUUUACCUACUACUAACGGAAGACAGAUUUUUUUCUACUAAAUUUCGACGUCACACCAAAGGAAAAACCGAUUAAGUCAAAACCGAGACAUGUACUACGAAGACUGGUGGUACAACUUGAUAAAGGUUUUAGUAUAUUAACUACGACUACAGCGGGGUAACACUCGUCGUCUCCACACUACGCCGGUUUCCGACUAGAGGUUUAGAGGUGGUUUACUUACCUACCAUUGGACUCCUAUGUUCCGGUCUCAAACACUAAGUUGUUACCCUGUCUAACACCUGUGGGGAAAGAAAUGUGACCUUGAACUCGUACCACCCGAAAAGAUACCUGGUUCUUUAUUGUACCUCAUGAUAUUAGGAAGACACCUCCACUAACUGAUACAACUACGACCGUGUAAGAGUAUAAGUCGAUAACUUCUCGUGAACGAUACCAACCCUAUAGGACACCGACUCGUGUAUUAAAUAACCACGUACGGACUGUUUUACUAAAGUCUACCAUACAACUCUUAAUCUCCACUACUCCUACACGUUGUGUACUAGUCUCGAUCAUCAGUCGUAUUCCACGAACGUGAUUACCAACUGGUACGUCUAAAGUAGUCAUUAACGUUCCUUCUAAACCAUAGCUGUCACGGUUGUCAAGUGUCAAAACAGUACUACCGGUCCAGUUUAUAACAACGUCGGUCACAUCGUAGAAGAGUGUCGGAGUAAAGUUAUUAACUUCUCGAGUAAAGUCUCCACCGUCGUCUAUUGUAUCUUCGUCUGUUGAACCAACGAUUACCUUGUCUUUAUCUCUGAAACGAUUGACUACCACGUCUCCUACAUCACGAGAGUCUAAGUCUCAAGUCACUAUCACUAAUACUGUAUCUACUACCUCUACUACUAAAUAUACUUCUGUUGUAACUAAAACUACAAACUACUUCUUCGACUCGUUCAACUCCUUCUCCACCUCGGUCUGAUAAAUGAACUCCUACUUCUAGAUUUGGAGAAACAACUUCCCGUUCUCGUUGACCUUAUGUUCAAGUUUCGAAAGUUAAGGUUCCACCUGUACUUUAGGGGAUAUAAAUUGAAUCCCUACCAUAAACGACUACACCAACACGACUCCUUUCGGGAAUGACGAAUAAGAUAUUCCUUAUCUCACGUUUAGUUCUUCCAGUUCUUACUAUUCUACUCUAAUCUCCGACAGACAGUCUCUCCAACGGGUACCGACGAAUUUCGAUCGUUCCUGUUGUUCUGACCUCCUAAACAGUACUUCCGGAUGAAACCUCUCGUACAGAUAGUCUUUUUCACCUUCAACUUCCUAAACUGUCGAUUCAAAGAAACGGUCAACAAGAACCUACUUAAAUCUCUACUGGUCUUCUACAGUGAACCUUGUAAAAGUUCCUUUUAAUGAUUCCUUAAGUUACAAUGAGGAUUGUCUACCUUCGAACGAUCCCGAUCUUUCCUUCGUGAAUUACUCUAAGUACCACUACUCCUUCUCGUUAAGUCAUCCGAAACCCUGAUACCUGUUCUUAACUCUUGGUUUUUGGGACCCAGAUGUAAAGACGAGUGUUGAAGUCACCACUUUCUAUGUUUUAAAGGUAACCCGUCCUUUACAAACUUUUGUAACAUGACCAGUAUACUACGUACAUUCUCUCCUACCGAUUUCCCGACGUCCGGUUAGUAAAAGCAACUGCCAACAGUGUACUUUUGUUCCAAGUUUCCUCACGAUGAAUCACGACAACCAUAACUAGGGUUACUGACGUAUAAGGGUUAACGUUAACCUACCCACCUUCAACUCACGUGUCCAAGUACCCUCACCAAAGACUGGUGAGAGUCUCUACUAGAGUUGUAGUGAUUGUGACGGGGAAAGUGUUAGUACUCACUGUUUGUCUUUCCAAAUUAUUUACGUCACGUGUUUCAAACCGGUCUAAUUCUUGUGUCCAAAACACAGUCUGUAUAAAUGGUCUUAAAGUUACUCUUCGUGUUUCCUCUCCAUGACUUCUUUCUGAACACCCGUUAACGUUCUAGAGGUUUGUUUCACUUCACCUCUCUUUUGACAGUCUUUUACCUACUGGUGUCAAGUCGACGAAAGGUGACCUGACUUUCUGAUCUCACCUUUUGAACCACGUUUCGUAAGAAGUCACUUAAAGGGUUUACACUGUAGGACGAGUUGUUAUUGAGUUUCCAAAAAUUGUCGAUGUAGGAACUCCCGUCUCUUUACGGUCACGAGUCGUACGAACUCAUGUAAAAGAUAUUCUACUACCUGUCCUAACAAUCUUUUGUUUCUCUUCGAUAACUUUUCACCCGUCCGGUCUCUUAUACAGGGUUCUAGUUCUUCAAUCUAUUCUUGUGUCUCAAACGACGAUUAACGGUACAUUGUCUUCGACCGGUCGUUUAGAAGUCUCAAGUCAGACCAUUGUUAUCGAUGUGACACCUGGAGACGAACAUGUAUACACUAACGUCCUCUACCGUCAAUAGAUCUCAUGGUACACCGGUAAGGUAUCGUACAACGUCCCUCCUCUCUUAACUGGGUCUCUGUGACCAAGUACUCACGAUAUGACAAGUCUGUAUAGAGUUUCGAAUACCUAUGUGAGAACAGGGAGAACGUCUGGGAUUCUUCACCCUCUUUGUAUUACCGAUAUUCCACAUAGGUGGUCACAAGUGGUUUGUCAACCCAUCUGGGUUCUUUUUAUCCUUCUUCUGUGGUCUCCUCUUCUAGUUCUUACCACAAUCCGAAAACUUGUUUUUUCCACAAUGUUACGUGACGAGAUAAACACCCUCUCAACUAGUGUUAUCUUUCCCCGUAAUGUCUACCGUCCUCCGAGAGUAACGUCUUCCCCAUCUCCAACAACUACUCUUGAUACUACUGGGUUGUAAAGAAGUCUUGUAGAAGGGAUUGGUCGGUCUAGGAAAUGACCUAGGUUAACCGUGUGGUAAGUCAUACCAGAUGUUGUACUGAGUCUCUCUCGAACGUUCUUCUCGAGGAGUCUCCCAAGUACCCGGUGACGGAUUCGUUAGACGUAAACAACGACGACGACCACGACGUUAUGGAGUCGGUUCCUAGUGAUGUUUUUACUUGUAUCCAUCUGUCUGUUCCCGUUGGUGUCAUCGACUGUUUCCUCUUCCUAAAUCAUCCCCUUCUCCUUCUUUUUCUGUUUCUUUAGGUCUACGUCCGUCUCCUCGUUGAUGUCUCUCUCCUUCUCCCAGUUUAAGUCAACGUCCGUCUCCUUCUCCCAGUUUAAGUCAACAUCCGUCUCCUUCUCCCAGUUUAAGUCAACGUACGUCUCCUUCUCCUCGUUUACGUUUACGUCCAUCUCCUUCUCGUCGUUUACGUUUACGUUCCUCUCCUCUUCAAGGUAGACGUCCCUAUCCUCUUCGUCGUUUACGUUUACGUAUACGAACUUCUCCUCCUCGUCAUUUACAUUUAGGUCUACGAACCUGUACUCCUAGUGACGGUAAACGUCUCUGUCCUCCUAGUUACGGUAAACGUCCCUCUCCUCCUAGUUACGGUAAACGUCCCUCUCCUCCUCGUCGUUGUUGUUUAUGUGUACGAACCUGUCCUCCUAGUUACGGUAAACGUCCCUCUCCUCCUCGUCGUUGUCAAGGUGUACGUCCUACCUCUACCGAAGACAAACCUCUAGUCUCCUGUUAAGGACUAGAAUUACGAGGACGACUACUAAAGUACCGUGGUGUAAUUACUUAUCCACCGUCAAUAACAGACGGUAUGAAAAACAAUUCCGGAUGUAAUUAAAUUUAAUACCUGUCCGGAAAAAACUAUCCGUUUGUCACCGAAUAUAACAGAUGAAAAACUACCGUUUGUCACCGUAAGUAACGGGAAAAACAUUGAUUUAAACUACUACUA
rnacentral:rRNA from 1 species